rnacentral:rRNA from 1 species
GGGUCAGUAGGUUGGUAGCGCCACCGGUACGUACUGGUCUCACUGAUUCCUCCUUCCUGAAGAACCGUAAUGCCAUUAAUUUGGUGUUGCGGGGAAACAGGACUGUUACUUUGAAAAAAUUAGAGUGUUUAAAGCAAGCUAACGCUUGAAUACAUUAGCAUGGAAUAAUGAAGUAGGACGAUCGAUCCUAUUUUGUUGGUUUCUAGGAUUGACGUA